UACGGAGGGUGCAAACGUUGCUCGGAAUUAUUGGGCGUAAAGCGUACGUAGGCGGUCCAGCAAGUCGGGUGUGAAAGCCCUCGGCUUAACCGAGGAAGUGCAUUCGAAAGUACUGGACUUGAAUACUGGAGAGGAUCGCGGAAUUCCCGGUGUAGAGGUGAAAUUCGUAGAUAUCGUGAGGAACACCAGUGGCGAAGGCGGCGAUCUGGACAGAUAUUGACGCUGAUGUACGAAAGCGUGGGGAGCAAACAGG
rnacentral:rRNA from 1 species